rnacentral:rRNA from 1 species
GGUACCUGACCAGAAAGCCACGGCUAAAUACGUGCCAGCAGCCGCGGUAAUACGUAGGUGGCAAGCGUUGUCCGGAAUUAUUGGGCGUAAAGCGCGCGCAGGCGGUUCAUUAAGUGUGAUGUGAAAGCCCCCGGCUCAACCGGGGAGGGUCAUUGGAAACUGGGGAACUUGAGUGCAGAAGAGGAGAGCGGAAUUCCACGUGUAGCGGUGAAAUGCGUAGAGAUGUGGAGGAACACCAGUGGCGAAGGCGGCUCUCUGGUCUGUAACUGACGCUGAGGCGCGAAAGCGUGGGGAGCGAACAGGAUUAGAUACCCUGGUAGUCCACGCCGUAAACGAUGAGUGCUAAGUGUUAGAGGGUUUCCGCCCUUUAGUGCUGCAGCAAACGCAUUAAGCACUCCGCCUGGGGAGUACGGCCGCAAGGCUGAAACUCAAAGGAAUUGACGGGGGCCCGCACAAGCGGUGGAGCAUGUGGUUUAAUUCGAAGCAACGCGAAGAACCUUACCAGGUCUUGACAUCCUCUGACAACCCUAGAGAUAGGGCGUUCCCCUUCGGGGGACAGAGUGACAGGUGGUGCAUGGUUGUCGUCAGCUCGUGUCGUGAGAUGUUGGGUUAAGUCCCGCAACGAGCGCAACCCUUGAUCUUAGUUGCCAGCAUUCAGUUGGGCACUCUAAGGUGACUGCCGGUGACAAACCGGAGGAAGGUGGGGAUGACGUCAAAUCAUCAUGCCCCUUAUGACCUGGGCUACACACG